rnacentral:rRNA from 1 species
CCUACGGGUGGCAGCAGUGAGGAAUAUUGGUCAAUGGACGCAAGUCUGAACCAGCCAUGCCGCGUGCAGGAAGACGGCUCUAUGAGUUGUAAACUGCUUUUGUACGAGGGUAAACGCAAAUACGCGUAUCUGUCUGAAAGUAUCGUACGAAUAAGGAUCGGCUAACUCCGUGCCAGCAGCCGCGGUAAUACGGAGGAUUCAAGCGUUAUCCGGAUUUAUUGGGUUUAAAGGGUGCGUAGGCGGUCGGAUAAGUUAGAGGUGAAAUACCGAGGCUCAACUUCGGAAUUGCCUCUGAUACUGUUCGGCUAGAGAGUAGUUGAGGUAGGCGGAAUGUAUGGUGUAGCGGUGAAAUGCUUAGAGAUCAUACAGAACACCGAUUGCGAAGGCAGCUUACUAAGCUACUUCUGACGUUGAGGCACGAAAGCGUGGGGAGCAAACAGGAUUAGAUACCCGGGUAGUC